rnacentral:rRNA from 1 species
UACAGAGGGUGCAAGCGUUGCUCGGAUUUACUGGGCGUAAAGCGUAAGCAGACGGUGAGAAGGGUCGGAUGUGAAAGCCCCGGGCUCAACCCUGGAACUGCAUCCGAAACCAUCUCGCUAGAGUAUGAGAGAGGGAAGCAGAAUUCCUGGUGUAGAGGUGAAAUUCGUAGAUAUCAGGAGGAAUACCUGCGGCGAAGGCGGCUUCCUGGCUCAUUACUGACGUUCAGGUACGAAAGCGUGGGUAGCAAACAGG